rnacentral:lncRNA from 1 species
CCUGGGCUGAGGCCAGGAUUGUACUGUGCUAACAGAGAAUUAAAAAUACAGCCCUGUUGUAUACCCCCUGCCUUCCACAAGCUUGCUCGCAGUGUGUUCCCUGUUAACACUUUCUAUGAAAACUGGCCAGAUCCCCUUCUCAAAACCAACGGGACUUCUCAGUGCCAGCAGAGCUUACAUCCACAUGAGCUGCACAGAUGGACGAGUUCAGUGCACCUCCUUGAUGCCAACAUGCGCGAAGGAAAAGUCACUUUUUACUUUCCCAGCAGAUACUGCUUUCCUGGGGUGGGGGGGACACCUGGCAGGUACCCACGCCUUCCUCUGGCCACAGAACGCCUCUGCCAGCAAUGAGGAGGAAGAGGAGAGAGGGGGCGGCUUCAAGGAGGAUUUGGAGGAGUUGCAGUUCUUGCAAGGCCAGUACCACGCUGAAGAAAAAAGGGAACUCUUGUUGUUUCGUAACUACAGUAAUGCUCUUCACAGUGAUCUUCACAAGCUCUCCAAACUUCUUUAUUUACCAAGAUGCUGGAUGGCAGGGAACACAUACAUGCCUGAGGAUUUGCACAUCGCAAGGGCAGAAUUCACAAGGCCUGGAAGGUCCUGUACAUAAGGCAGACUUCUUCUCCCCCUCCCUAUCAGCCUCAAGGUUUCUGGGCACUGGGCUGACUACUCCUCUCCUUACCACCCUUGAAGGUCCCACGCACCCAGAAAACCAGGCAGUGAUGACCCUAUCACAGAAGAGGGAAGUGAAGCAGCACACAGAGCACUGUCUAUAAAAUCAAGCAGUUGCAAAUCCUAAGUGGGACUUGGCCACAACUGCUGCUGGACAGCAAAACCUAUGAUCUUUCAGUGGUCAGGGGUGCCUCCACUAUCAUGUACUUCCUCCAAGGAUUGAGUGAGUGACUUGUGUUCUUUCAUGUGUUUCAAGUUUAUAUUGUGACUGUUAUAUUGAUACUGCAAGCCAAGUAUGAAGAUUUAACCCAAUCUGCAGAGGGUUCAGGUGACUAGGAACCCAAAGCUAACCUGUGUUACAAAUUGUGUGCUAUGCUACUUAUAAAAUCGUGCUACACUGAUUCUGAUUAUAAAAAUCCUAUGCUAUUUUGGCCAUAAAAUUGUAUGCAUGCUGUAAAAUUCUGUUAAAAAAGCAAAGCUUUAAUUGUAACUACAACUUAGUGCUGUCAUCAUUCUGUCCAGGAUCCCCAUGGGUGACAAAACCCCGUUCACAUAAAAUUUCUCCUUGUCCAACUGGGAAUAAAUCAUCUAGAAGUCCCA